rnacentral:tRNA from 1 species
GCUAGCGUAGCUUAAUUAAAGCAUAACGCUGAAGUUGUUAAGAUGAGCCCUAGAAAGCUCCGCAAGCA